UGGGGAAUAUUGCACAAUGGGCGAAAGCCUGAUGCAGCAACGCCGCGUGAGUGAUGAAGGUCUUCGGAUUGUAAAGCUCUGUCUUUUGGGACGAUAAUGACGGUACCAAAGGAGGAAGCCACGGCUAACUACGUGCCAGCAGCCACGGUAAUACGUAGGUGGCGAGCGUUGUCCGGAUUUACUGGGCGUAAAGGGUGCGUAGGCGGAUGUUUAAGUGAGAUGUGAAAUACCCGGGCUUAACUUGGGUGCUGCAUUUCAAACUGGAUAUCUAGAGUGCAGGAGAGGAGAAUGGAAUUCCUAGUGUAGCGGUGAAAUGCGUAGAGAUUAGGAAGAACACCAGUGGCGAAGGCGAUUCUCUGGACUGUAACUGACGCUGAGGCACGAAAGCGUGGGUAGCAAACAGGAUUAGAUACCCUGGUAGUCCACGCCGUAAACGAUGAGUACUAGGUGUAGGAGGUAUCGACCCCUUCUGUGCCGCAGUAAACACAUUAAGUACUCCGCCUGGGAAGUACGAUCGCAAGAUUAAAACUCUAAAGUGAAUUGAC
rnacentral:rRNA from 1 species